AAAGAAUAAAUACUACAGAUAAAUGUGAUGCCAUGUUGAACAAGUCUAGUGAAGCAAAUAACCCACCAAUAUUCAAGCAAUUAAGCCCCAGAUUCAGAAGUUCAGUGAGCCCUUCCUGAAUAGUCAGCUCCCAAGGGUCCUCCCAAGGUUGCCAGAAACAGAAUGCAUAAAGAAGAUAUUAGGGGCUUCUAUCAGUCAGUUGCUGUCAUCCAGCAUUUAACUAAUCA
rnacentral:misc_RNA from 1 species